AAAGUCUGACCGAGCAACGCCGCGUGAGUGAAGAAGGUUUUCGGAUCGUAAAGCUCUGUUGUAAGUCAAGAACGUGUGUGAGAGUGGAAAGUUCACACAGUGACGGUAGCUUACCAGAAAGGGACGGCUAACUACGUGCCAGCAGCCGCGGUAAUACGUAGGUCCCGAGCGUUGUCCGGAUUUAUUGGGCGUAAAGGGAGCGCAGGCGGUCAGGAAAGUCUGGAGUAAAAGGCUAUGGCUCAACCAUAGUGUGCUCUGGAAACUGUCUGACUUGAGUGCAGAAGGGGAGAGUGGAAUUCCAUGUGUAGCGGUGAAAUGCGUAGAUAUAUGGAGGAACACCAGUGGCGAAAGCGGCUCUCUGGUCUGUCACUGACGCUGAGGCUCGAAAGCGUGGGUAGCGAACAGGAUUAGAUACCCUGGUAGUCCACGCCGUAAACGAUGAGUGCUAGGUGUUAGGCCCUUUCCGGGGCUUAGUGCCGGAGCUAACGCAAUAAGCACUCCGCCUGGGGAGUACGACCGCAAGGUGGAAACUCAAAGGAAUCGACGGGGGCCCGCACAAGCGGUGGAGCAUGUGGUUUAAUUCGAAGCAACGCGAAGAACCUUACCAGGUCUUG
rnacentral:rRNA from 1 species